rnacentral:rRNA from 1 species
UACGGAGGGUGCGAGCGUUGUCCGGAAUCACUGGGCGUAAAGGCGCGUAGGCGGCCUGAUAAGUAGGGGGUGAAAUCCUGCGGCUUAACCGCAGGGCUGCCUUCUAAACUGUCAGGCUAGAGCACGGUAGAGGCAGAUGGAAUUCCCCGGUGUAGCGGUGGAAUGCGUAGAGAUCGGGAAGAACAUCAGGUGGCGGAAGGCGGCUUCCUGGACCGACACUGACGCUGAGGCGCGGAAAGCUAGGGGAGCAAACGGG